GAAAAAUCUUCACCUUCUUCACCAGAUGCUGGAGGGUUUAACUCAUUAGAUGGAGAAGGUGUAUCAUUCCGCACUCUUGUUCUGCGAGGUGGAGACAUAUCGGAGUUCACCAUGCUAGAAUUUGCACGGUUUGGAGAGAGUGAAACCCAACCACUUCCAUCUUCACUUAUGGAAUUAUAUGGUCGCUUGGCUUUUAGUUCUUCAAGCCUCCUCAUUCUCUUAACCUCAAU
rnacentral:misc_RNA from 1 species